rnacentral:tRNA from 2 species
GCAGGGGUGGCUGAGCGGUCAAAGGCGCCGGACUUAAGCUCCGGUCUCAAUGAGUUCGUGGGUUCAAAUCCCAUCCCCUGCACCA